UUCAAAUACUGAAUUAGGAUUUCGGAUUCUCGGUACUGAAAUUAGGGUUUCCAGAACCGAUUUCUAGGGUUUCUUAUAAAUCGUAAUAAUUUAAUAACUGAACUUUGACGUUCUAAUAAUAUUAGGGUUUGACACAGAUAUAAUUUAUCUGGUCAACACUUGACCCUUAACCACAUUCUGUACACAUAAUACCGUAAUCACAGAAUAUAUACACACAUACCCUUAAUCCUGAAUAAUUCACUAAAAGAAAUUUUAAAUCCUCAAAAUUCCUUUCUGAAAACAUCAAACACAUACACUUAUUUUCUGUCUAGGUCUAUUAUUUGACCUUAAACCAAUCAUUUAAGAUUUUAAUAAUUUUCUAAUUUCUCGGGUUG
rnacentral:lncRNA from 1 species